rnacentral:rRNA from 1 species
UACAGGGGGGGCAAGCGUUGUUCGGAAUUACUGGGCGUAAAGGGCCCGUAGGCGGCCAACUAAGUCACACGUGAAAUCCCCAGGCUUAACCUGGGAACUGCGUGUGAUACUGGAUGGCUUGAAUUCGGGAGAGGGAUGCAGAAUUCCAGGUGUAGCGGUGAAAUGCGUAGAUAUCUGGAGGAAUACCGGUGGCGAAGGCGGCAUCCUGGACCGAGAUUGACGCUGAACGGCGAAAGCUAGGGGAGCAAACGGG